GGUUGACCUCGGAUCAGGUAGGGAUACCCGCUGAACUUAAGCAUAUCAAUAAGCGGAGGAAAAGAAACCAACAGGGAUUGCCUCAGUAACGGCGAGUGAAGCGGCAACAGCUCAAAUUUGAAAUCUGGCCCUUGCAGGGUCCGAGUUGUAAUUUGUAGAGGAUGCUUCGGGUUCGGCUCCGGUCUAAGUUCCUUGGAACAGGACGUCACAGAGGGUGAGAAUCCCGUACGUGACCGGCCGCCACGCCCGUGUGAAGCUCCUUCGACGAGUCGAGUUGUUUGGGAAUGCAGCUCAAAAUGGGUGGUAAAUUUCAUCUAAAGCUAAAUACCGGCCAGAGACCGAUAGCGCACAAGUAGAGUGAUCGAAAGAUGAAAAGCACUUUGGAAAGAGAGUUAAAAAGUACGUGAAAUUGUUGAAAGGGAAGCGCUUGCAACCAGACUUGCCCGCGGGUGAUCAACCGGUAUUCUUACCGGUGCACUCGCCCGUGGUCAGGCCAGCAUCGGUUUGGGCGGCUGGACAAAGGCCCCCGGAAUGUAGCUCCUCUCGGGGAGUGUUAUAGCCGGAGGUGCAAUGCAGCCAGCCCGGACCGAGGACCGCGC
rnacentral:sRNA from 1 species